AUUGAACGCUGGCGGCAUGCCUUACACAUGCAAGUCGAACGGCAGCGCGGGGCAACCUGGCGGCGAGUGGCGAACGGGUGAGUAAUAUAUCGGAACGUGCCCUGGAGUGGGGAUAACGUAGCGAAAGUUACGCUAAUACCGCAUACGAUCCAAGGAUGAAAGCAGGGGACCUUCGGGCCUUGUGCUCCUGGAGCGGCCGAUAUCUGAUUAGCUAGUUGGUGGGGUAAAAGCCUACCAAGGCGACGAUCCAUAGCUGGUUUGAGAGAACGACCAGCCACACUGGAACUGAGACACGGUCCAGACUCCUACGGGAGGCAGCAGUGGGGAAUUUUGGACAAUGGGCGAAAGCCUGAUCCAGCAAUGCCGCGCGAAUGAUGAAGGCCUUAGGGUUGUAAAGUUCUUUCGCCGAUGAAGAUAAUGACGGUAGUCGGAGAAGAAGCCCCGGCUAACUUCGUGCCAGCAGCCGCGGU
rnacentral:rRNA from 1 species